rnacentral:RNase_P_RNA from 1 species
GGAGUCAGCCAGGCAACCGCUGCGUGUUAUCGCUUGCGAUAAUGCGGGGAGGAAAGUCCGGGCUCCAAGGGCACAGCGCCAGGUAACGCCUGGGGGACGUGAGUCCACGGCAAGUGCAACAGAAAGCAAACCGCCUAAGUGUCAUCGCAAGGUGCCAACGGUAAGGGUGAAAGGGUGCGGUAAGAGCGCACCGCGUCGGUGGUAACACUCGACGGCACGGUAAACCCCGCUCGGAGCAAGACCAAAUAGGGGAACAAGUGGUCGCAUUUGUCUAGCAAUAGGCCGAUGUAGAUCGCACGUAUGGCCCAUACAGGUUCCCGGGUAGGUCGCUUGAGGUCUGCGGUGACGCAGAUCCCAGAGGAAUGGUUGCUCACGACAGAACCCGGCUUAUCGGCUGACUCCUUUC